rnacentral:rRNA from 1 species
UGCAGCGACGCCGCGUCAGGGAUGACGGCCUCAGGGUUGUAAACCUCUUUCAGCAGGGACGAAGCGCAAGUGACGGUACCUGCAGAAGAAGCACCGGCCAACUACGUGCCAGCAGCCGCGGUAAUACGUAGGGUGCGAGCGUUGUCCGGAAUUACUGGGCGUAAAGAGUUCGUAGGCGGUUUGUCGCGUCGUCUGUGAAAACCCACCGCUCAACGGUGGGCCUGCAGGCGAUACGGGCAGACUUGAGUACUGCAGGGGAGACUGGAAUUCCUGGUGUAGCGGUGAAAUGCGCAGAUAUCAGGAGGAACACCGGUGGCGAAGGCGGGUCUCUGGGCAGUAACUGACGCUGAGGAACGAAAGCGUGGGUAGCAAACAGGAUUAGAUACCCUGGUAGUCCACGCCGUAAACGGUGGGCGCUAGGUGUGGGUUCCUUCCACGGGAUCUGUGCCGUAGCUAACGCAUUAAGCGCCCCGCCUGGGGAGUACGGCCGCAAGGCUAAAACUCAAAGGAAUUGACGGGGGCCCGCACAAGCGGCGGAGCAUGUGGAUUAAUUCGAUGCAACGCGAAGAACCUUACCUGGGUUUGACAUGUACUGGAAAGCCGUAGAGAUACGGCCCCCCUUGUGGC